UACGAAGGGAGCUAGCGUUGUUCGGAAUCACUGGGCGUAAAGCGCACGUAGGCGGAUGUGUCAGUCAGGGGUGAAAUCCCGGAGCUCAACUUCGGAACUGCCCUUGAUACAGCACGUCUUGAGUCCGGAAGAGGUGGGUGGAAUUCCUAGUGUAGAGGUGAAAUUCGUAGAUAUUAGGAAGAACACCGGUGGCGAAGGCAGCUCGCUGGGACGUUACUGACGCUGAGACGCGAAAGCGUGGGGAGCAAACAGG
rnacentral:rRNA from 1 species